rnacentral:rRNA from 1 species
GAUGAACGCUGGCGGCGUGCCUAAUACAUGCAAGUCGAGCGAACGGACGAGAAGCUUGCUUCUCUGAUGUUAGCGGCGGACGGGUGAGUAACACGUGGAUAGCCUACCUAUAAGACUGGGAUAACUUCGGGAAACCGGAUCUAAUACCGGAUGAUAUUUUGAACCGCAUGGUUCAAAAGUGAAAGACGGUCUUGCUGUCACUUAUAGAUGGAUCCGCGCUGCAUUAGCUAGUUGGUAAGGUAACGGCUUACCAAGGCAACGAUGCAUAGCCGACCUGAGAGGGUGAUCGGCCACACUGGAACUGAGACACGGUCCAGACUCCUACGGGAGGCAGCAGUAGGGAAUCUUCCGCAAUGGGCGAAAGCCUGACGGAGCAACGCCGCGUGAGUGAUGAAGGUCUUCGGAUCGUAAAACUCUGUUAUUAGGGAAGAACAUAUGUGUAAGUAACUGUGCACAUCUUGACGGUACCUAAUCAGAAAGCCACGGCUAACUACGUG